GGACUGUGGCUCAGUGGAAGAGCCUCUGGUUUGCAUACAGAAGACUCCAGGUUCAAUUCCUAGUGUAUUCA
rnacentral:tRNA from 1 species